rnacentral:rRNA from 1 species
CAGUCGCCGCGGGAAUACGUAGGGUGCAAGCGUUAACCGGAAUUACUGGGCGUAAAGCGUGCGUAGGCGGUGAGUUAAGUCUGCUGUGAAAUCCCCGGGCUCAACCUGGGAAUGGCAGUGGAUACUGGCUCGCUAGAGUGUGUCAGAGGAUGGUGGAAUUCCCGGUGUAGCGGUGAAAUGCGUAGAGAUCGGGAGGAACAUCAGUGGCGAAAGCGGCCAUCUGGGACAACACUGACGCUGAGGCACGAAAGCGUGGGGAGCAAACAGGAUUAGAUACCCCCGUAGUCCCUGUCUCUUAUAC